AGAGUUUGAUCCUGGCUCAGGAUGAACGCUGGCGGCGUGCUUAACACAUGCAAGUCGAACGAAGCACUCUUUUAGAUUUCCUUCGGGGGAGAAGAAAUUGUGACUGAGUGGCGGACGGGUGAGUAACGCGUGGGCAACCUGCCCCAUACAGGGGGAUAACAGCCGGAAACGGCUGCUAAAACCGCAUAAGCGCACAAGGGCCGCAUGGCCUGGUGUGAAAAACUCCGGUGGUAUGGGAUGGGCCCGCGUCUGAUUAGCUAGUUGGCGGGGGAGAGGCCCACCAAGGCGACGAUCAGUAGCCGACCUGAGAGGGUGGCCGGCCACAUUGGGACUGAGACACGGCCCAAACUCCUACGGGAGGCAGCAGUGGGGAGUAUUGCACAAUGGGGGAAACCCUGAUGCAGCGACGCCGCGUGAGCGAAGAAGUAUUUCGGUAUGUAAAGCUCUAUCAGCAGGGAAAAAAAAUGACGGUACCUGAGUAAGAAGCCCCGGCUAAAU
rnacentral:rRNA from 1 species